GGGGUCCUACGGGGCGCAGCAGUAGGGAAUAUUGCUCAAUGGGGGAAACCCUGAACCAGCAACGCCGCGUGAGGGAAGACGGUUUUCGGAUUGUAAACCUCUGUCCUCUAUGAAGAUAAUGACGGUAGCAGAGGAGGAAGCUCCGGCUAACUACGUGCCAGCAGCCGCGGUAAUACGUAGGGAGCGAACGUUGUCCGGAUUUACUGGGUGUAAAGGGUGCGUAGGCGGGUAAGCAAGUCAGAAGUGAAAUCCAUGGGCUUAACCCAUGAACUGCUUUUGAAACUGUUUAUCUUGAGUGAAGUAGG
rnacentral:rRNA from 1 species